rnacentral:lncRNA from 10 species
GGCCAUUCCAAGUGCGGGCCCGCAGAUACCACACCCACCCGGAAGUCCUCCUGGCCCACAAGCUCCGCGGCGCAGCCCGGGUUCCCGCCCACGUCUCUCCUUCCGGGGCUCUCACUCCAUACCUCCCCACAAGCUGAGGGAGCCGGCUCCGGCCUCAGCCAGCCCAGAAAGGGGCUCCCACAGUGCAGCGGGCUGAAGGGCUCCUCAAUAGCGACCAGAGUGGGCACCAAGGCCGAGGAGGCACCAAAAGCGAGUGAGGGCUGCGAGGGCUGCGAGGGCUGCCAGCACAUUGUCGCCUCUCAGUAGGGUCUUUGAGAGACAAGGUAUUUCACUGUAACAGACAUCAGACUAAAAGAUAAAACCCUGACACUUUGGACAUUUCAAAAGUUAAAAUAAUUGUAUACCCUUCAAUUAUUGGAACCAUUUCAAUCAAUGCCCUAUACUAUGCCAAAUGACAGGAUCUUGCUAUGAUUCCCAGGCUGAUCACAAACUCCUGACCUCAAGCAACCCUUUCACCUCAGCAUCCCAAAGUGCUGGGAUUACAGGAUGAUCCACUAUGUCUGGCCCAUAAAUAGGAGGGAACAAGUAAAAACAUGGCAAUAUGGCAAAACAAUGAAACAUUUGUUAAUGAAUUGAAAACAGCAAAACUGGAAGUUUCCUAGACAUCCGUGUUCUUAAAGGAAACCACGAAUUUCUGAAGGAAAUGUUGAAGACACAGGGAAGGGCAGAAUAAAAGCAAAGAAUCCUUGAGACUGUCAACAGAGCUCUGGCGGGCCUUAAGGAAUGCACAUCUAGCAGACUCUCAAGUCCCUAAUGAUAUUUUGGAAGACUUUCUGGCUACUUUGCAACAACCUGAGUAUUUUUGGUACUAUUAAGGGGUCUUAAACCUCCUUAAGUCAAAUGCCAUUUCCCAGGCAAAGAUACGGUACACACUGCUACCAUAGGCAAGAAAGUAAUUUUGUAAAUCCGUUGUCUCCAAGAAUUUAAAGUGGUCGUCAUCUUAAGUGGGUGCUUAAACCCAUAUAGACGUGGUGUUUGAGAGGCAUGUGGAAAUGUAAGCAGAAAAAAGAAAGCAAAUAAGAUAGCAAAAAUAAGUUCUAAUAUAUUAGCAAUGUAUUUGUUCUUUAUAUAUUAGUAAUGUAUGUGUUCUAUACAUUACUAAUGGGUAUAUGUAUAAGGUAGUAAUUAUUUUAGUAAUGUAUAUGUUUUAAGAUAUUAGUAAUGUAUAUGUUCUUUUCUAAUUAGUAAUUAGAAAACAAAUGUAAAUGGACUAAUUUUACUAUCUGAAAGAAAAAUCAUGUUAAAGAUGAUGCAUAUUUAUAAUAUAGCAUUUGUCAUAAUCAUGAGUUUUCUGAUCUAUUCUUGCCUACUUUCCUAUUAAUCUCCUCCAGCCUCUAAACUACAGUGUUCAGUUUCUAUUGUAAACAGUUUUAUUUUCAAUACCUAUAAAGUGCUUGACACACAACAAUAUUUAUUAGGUGGAUUAAUGAUAGAGUUGGUGCCUAUGGCAGGAGAAAAAGGGACUUUUCUUUCAGUGGCUUAGGCCUAUUGUUGAGGACAGUUGCUCUUACAAAGGGGUAAGAAGAUUCCCAUUGUCUUUCAUCUCAAUUAUAUCAUAAUAUUCAUAUGGUUUCUAUAAUGGAAUGUUUGGUAAAUUGCAAGCAAUACACACAAACAACUUUCAGAGACCCCUUUACCUAAAAAGUGAAAGUCAGCUAUAACUGAAGAUCAGCCUUAAUUUAAAGCAACAGAGCAUUAACUAUAAAAAUAGAUAUGACAUAGUUGUGAGAGAUGUAGCAGUGACCUUUGGGCAAGCAUUAUAUUUAUUUUUAAAUUAAUGCUAUAAUUUUAUAAUCUACUUAAAUCAAUGCAUUUAGCAUGAUUUCAAUAUAAAUACUGAAGCAAUGUUACUUUAAUCCGUAGUCUAUUUAUUUUGUGCUAUUCAUGAUUUAUAUUUCUAUUGUUACUUGACUACUAAGUGACAGAAUCCACUCAUUAUCCAGAAAUUAUAAAUGUAUUCAGACACAUUUGGAACUGAAAGCUAGCUAGGCUUCUAUUUAAAAAUAAAAAAGACAUAUAUUCAGCUUGAGAGUUGAUAUACAAAAUUUUCCAGUUAAAGGUGUAGAUCUUAGACAGUUAAGGACAUACUGGGGUCUCAAACAAGUGGACUAACUGACACGAAUGCAUCUGGGAGGAGGAGACCAUUCAUCCUCUGUACAUGGAACUGUGGUCUGCACAUUUGAAAGACUGUAGCCAGGAUAUCCUCAACUUUUACAGAUUGACUCUGUAAAGAUAUUCCUUCAUAUUUUGUGUUAUAUCCAUUCUCCAAAUAACUGAGAAUACAUUGUCCUAAAGACCAUAAAAUGAUUAAAAGGUAGAUUAGGAACAUGAAUUUGAUCAAAAUAGUAUAUUAAAAUAAUUUUUUGAAUAUUUAAAUAAGACUGCAUCAGUACACAAAAAUGACGUAUCACUGAAGGAAAACUAAAGCUACUACUAAAUGUUUGUACAAAAAGGUCAGUAUUCAAUGUUACUUAUCUUUAGUUUUUAUGAUAAAAUAUGUUUAAAUUAUAUAGGUAUUCUCAUAAGGUUCCUAUAUUUAUUUCUCAUGUGAUUUUCAUGAAGGUCUCAUAACAGAAAAGAUCUAGUUUGGUGUUUUUGCAUGAACAACUCUUCCUUUGGUACCAUCUCUGUCAUAUAAGACAAUGUAAUCAUUUGUUUGCUCUUCUCUCUCCAUUCUUUGCAAGUUUUAUGCACAUAUUGUUGUAAAGAGGUUUGCUUACUGAGGCAUGGGACUGUUGGCAACCACCCAUCUUGUGUGCAGUGAAUGUAAUCCCAGUAACUUCCUGAAGGAGUCACAAAAUUUUGGUCACAGUAAUAGGAGUAAGAUUGUCCUGUAGCUACUGGAAAGUAUGGUCUACGCGUAUUCUCAUAAUAUAGAUGUCCAUGUUGAAUUUCUGGAAACUCACAAGGUUUCAUUGCUUGUAACAAAAAACAAAAAUAGUAUAAAUAAUGUUUCACUGUAACAGACAAUGAUAUAAGAGAUGACUGUUUUGAUUAUGUUACCUUCCAAAUAAUGUUUUUUUUUUUCUUUACUUUUUUUUUUUUUUUAGAUGAAAUUUCGCUCUGUCUCCCAGGCUGGAGUGCAGUGGUGCGAUCACUGCUCACUGUGACCUCCGUCUCCCAGGUUCAAGUGAUUCUCCUGCCUCAGUCUCCUGAGUGGCCGGCACUAUGGGCACACACCACCACGCCCAUCUAAUUUUUGUAAUUUUAGUAGACACAGAGUUUUACCAUAUUGGUCAGGCUGGUCUCGAACUCCUGACCUCAGGUGAUCGACCUGCUUUGGCUUCCCAAAGUCCUGGGAUUACAGGUGUGAGCCACCGCGCCUGGCUGGUUUUCUUUUAGAUUUUUUUUUAAAUUUUAUAAUUAUUUUUUAAGUUCCCUGGAUACAUGUGUAGGAUGUGAAGGUUUGUUACAUAGGUAAAUGUGUGCCAUGGUGGUUAGCUCCACCUAUCAACCCAUACGCUAGGUAUUAAGCCCAGUUCUUCCAUGGUAAACUUUUCAUUUUUGAUGAUAUCAUUCACUCCUCUUCUCUCCUUUUGAUGCAAGUAUUCUGCACUCAAGUCUAGCCCUUAUUAACAUUAGUAUUUCUUUAGAAAUUUCCCCAAAUCAUAUUUUAAUCCAUCUUUCAAGCACUUAAAUAAAUUUCUUAACAUAGUACAUAUCACUUUUGAAAUCCAAAAAUUUUUAAGAUCUCUUCAAUACAUUCAGGGGCUGUUUACAAUUCAAAAAUAAAUAUUAUUUGAGCACUACAUACUUCUCCAAACAUAUUUUUCAAAAGUUUCUAAAGUUUUCUGCUGUUCUGGAAUGUUUUCCUUAUUACUUUAAUAUGCCAUAUGUAUAUGUAAUAUUUUUCAUAAGGUUGCCUUUUUCCCUAGAAUUCCCUGCUUGAAUGCUCUUUGCUUCUUUAGAUUUUAAGACUGAAAGUCUUGCUUGUAUCAUGGAACUGAUCUUAUGUCCUCAGAUAAUUAUAAUCCUUUCCUGUUCUUGAUUAUGAGAAGAGGUAAUGAUUUUGCUGUGAAAUCCAUCUUAGGAGUGUCCAUCUCCUCAGUCAAUCAAAUUUAAGACUCAGAAUUUAUCUCUGAAACCUAAUACUAAAUUUUUCCUAUGAAAUCAUGUUCAAAGAUACUUGUAAACUAUUUUGAUUUGAGGAUACGAAUUUUCCUCUGCAGUCUUGCCACUUGCAUGGUUUGGAGCCCGGACUUACACAUGAUCAUCUACAGAAGUGGAUACAUAAAUAGGGACAAUAAUUAAGGUUUAGCCCAUCAUAGGAUCAGCCAAAAUAUCAGCAUCAUCAGUCAAUAUAAAAGGUAAAAGGUAGCAUAGCAUCAAAAUAAAAGAAAUGAGUCAUAUCACAGAAAAGAACUGCUUGUAUCAUCCUGUACUUAGGAACUUGAGCAUUUGGAAAACUCGUGAGUUUACAGUUUAAGAGCUGUGACAGGAAUAAGUUAUCUGAUAUGCAAGGCCUGAUGGGUAUCUCAGUUCUCUACCUCAUAGGCUAGUAGAAAUUUGUGGCAAAUUUUCUUUUAGGUUUUCUUUUUGCUGCCAUAAUUAUUUUGGCUCAUAUUUUUUGAAUUGUGUUUCUUCAAGUUCAUAGGAUUUGUGGGACAAAAUUCUAAGAGUAUACCUGUAUUACAGACUUGAGGGCUUUUUAGUGUAUUCAUUUUCAUUCUGGGACGAGGGGAGAGGAGAUGAAGGUGAAAACAGAAAGCAUUGGCAUUUGGAAAUGGCUGAGCUUUCUGUUAAUUUCUUUCUUUCUUGCUAGAAAUACUGGUAAAGUGUAAGAAAAAAACAAUAAUCAGAGAAAGAACUUCUCAGUGUUAACUAGCUAUGUGCUCUAUCAGGAAGCAUUUCAGGUUUUCAAGUAGGAUUUUAGUUAAUAGUGCAUGGUUUUUAUUAUACUUUAAGUUCGGGGUACAUGUGCAGGACAUGCAGUUUUUUUACAUAGGAAUACAUGUGCCAUGGUGGUUUGCUGCACCCAUCAACCCAUCACCUACAUUAGGUGUUUCUCUUAAUGCUAUCCCUCCCCUAGCUCCCCAUCCUGUGACAGACCCUGGUGUGUGAUGUUCCCCUCCCUGAGUCCACCUGUUCUCCUUGUUCAGUUCCCACAUCUGAGUGAGAACAUGUGGUGCUAGGUUUUCUGUUCUUGUGAUAGUUUGCUGAGAAGGAUGGUUUCCAGCUUCCUCCAUGUCACUUUUGACAUGGACAUGAACGUAUCCAUUUUUAUGGCUGCAUAGUAUUCCAUGGUGUACAUGUGCCACAUUUUCUUUAUCUAGUCUGUCAUUUGGGUCUGGACAUUUGGGUUGGUUCCACAUCCAUGGUUUUUAAAACAGUGUUUUCAAAACUCUUUGAAAACUGUUUACCUAAGUAUUAAUAAUGUGAAAAUGGUUAUUGAUGUUAAGGUGAGAUGCUGUAUUUCAUAUGUGUGCAAUAAAUGGAUAUCAUUCUUGAAGACUCAUUGUGUCCAUUAACAAAUUGAGGUCUCUGAACAUUCCUGUUUUUAAAAGGAAACUUUGUCAUUGUUUACAUAAAAUUUUCCAAGCUUAUACACUUAUAUAUUAAGAUCUGAAAGGCAAAUAUUCAGCAGAAUAGCUGUUUGUGAACACAGUUCUAGGGUAAUAACCCAUAAAAAUUUUAGUAUAAAUAAACAAGGAUCAAAGUUAUUACUCUAAUUUUCUCAGAUCCAGAAUAUUAAGAACUUACAUAUGCAUCUUGGUGGUUCUGACCAGUCUCCAUUACUACA